rnacentral:misc_RNA from 1 species
GAUGAAGACGCAGCGAAAUGCGAUACGUAAUGUGAAUUGCAGAAUUCAGUGAAUCAUCGAAUCUUUGAACGCACAUUGCGCCCCCUGGUAUUCCGGGGGGCAUGCCUGUCCGAGCGUCAUUACAACCCUCAAGCUCAGCUUGGUGUUGGGCCCCGCCGCCCCGGCGGGCCCUAAAGUCAGUGGCGGUGCCGUCCGGCUCCGAGCGUAGUAAUUCUUCUCGCUCUGGAGGUCCGGUCGUGUGCUCGCCAGCAACCCCCAAUUUUUUUCAGGUUGACCUCGGAUCAGGUAGGGAUACCCGCUGAACUUAAGCAUAUCAAUAAGCGGAGGA